rnacentral:rRNA from 1 species
UACGGAGGGUGCGAGCGUUGUUCGGAAUUACUGGGCGUAAAGCGCGUGUAGGCGGCCUUCUAAGUCUGGUGUGAAAUCCCGGGGCUUACCCCCGGAAGUGCAUUGGAUACUGGAAGACUCGAGUACCGGAGAGGAGGGUGGAAUUCCUGGUGUAGCGGUGAAAUGCGUAGAUAUCAGGAGGAACACCGGUGGCGAAGGCGGCCCUCUGGACGGAUACUGACGCUGAGACGCGAAAGCGUGGGGAGCAAACAGG